UACAGAGGUCCCAAGCGUUGUUCGGAUUCAUUGGGCGUAAAGGGUGCGUAGGUGGCGCCGUAAGUCGGGUGUGAAAUCCUGGAGCUCAACUCCAGAACUGCCUUUGAUACUGGCGAUCUCGAGUCCGGGAGAGGUGAGUGGAACUGCGAGUGUAGAGGUGAAAUUCGUAGAUAUUCGCAAGAACACCAGUGGCGAAGGCGGCUCACUGGCCCGGUACUGACGCUGAGGUGCGAAAGCGUGGGGAGCAAACAGG
rnacentral:rRNA from 1 species